UCCCCCCCUGAAAAUCAAUCCAUAAUACUUAUGUUAAUAAUGCUACUGUGGACAAAAAAAAAGAGGAGAGACUUCAUAUGAAGUGAGAUUCUGCUUAGACAGUCUGGUCUCUCAAACCCACCUAAAUUUAGGUGGCAUGAAGGGCACCUAAAUUUAUAAAGGGCUCUGAGUUAUCUCAAGGUAUUUACACGAGUGCAGCUAAACUUGCGUUGCCUAGAUUCAAUGCAACAAACCUUGGAGCGUGUGGUCACAAUUUAAAAGACUUCUGCAGUUCAUCAAGAAGCCAAGGCUUUGGCCAUGUGUCCUCAGGUGACUGAUUAGGUAAUAUUUGUACACCGCUACAGAAAAAUAACAGGUUUGUAUAGAGAAGUAUGUAAAUAUUAGAUAUUAUGGUUAUUAAUUAUGUUUUCCCAACUGACACAAUCUGAUAAAUUGUUAGAUUCACUCUGGAACGUAUUUAGCAGGCAUUCCUGAUCUGUACUUGUGAGGUCUCCUCUUCCAAAGUGUCAGAGGACCUCAUGUUUCUUUAAAAGAUCCUAUGAAGCAGGAACACGGGACUGUCCUCAUUUCAUAGAAAGAACUGAGACUCGAUGCUGUGGCAAGGCUUAACUCUUCACCCCACACGAGCGAGCAUGCAUGCUGAUCCUGGUGCAGCACCAUGCCAUGCUUGCUGUGCGGUGCGGUGCCGUGCUGUGCUGUGGGCUGCAGGAUGUAGUGCCAGGAGCUGUCUUGGGGUCCCUGCACUACGUCCCUCCAUGCAGCAUGGCUGGGUGGUAGAUGAACUGCUCGUGCUUGUAUGGGGGUCACUGGGUUUUCUAAUACUUGUGGGGAAGCUUUGGCCCAUCUGUCUUCUCUCCUAAGGCACUGCAUGGAGUGAACCGAACCCAGAAUUAAUCUGGGCAUCCACCACGCCUCGGGGAGAGUCUGCCAUGUCAUGUAAGGCUUACAAAAUUGGGUCUUGUCCAGGUUUGUAGCAAGGUUGGGACAGUGCAGGGCUUUGUGGGCUGCCUGUCCCCAUGGGCUGAGAGGGGCAGGAGCAUCUGCUGGUCAGUGUGCCUUCUUCCCCAGCUGCUGGUGGCUUUCCAGGGAGUGAUGCUCCUGCCAGUGCCACUCUUGUGCCCUCACCUCGCCCUGGGCUGGCUUCUUCAGGAAGGCAGCACCGGGCUGUCUGCACCCAUCGUGCCUGUCCCUUGACACAAGCAAUUUCUCCUCCAUCUCCACAGACCUUGGUUUAAUUUGGGUGGGUAAUGUUUAAUCCACUACUGGAAACAGCUUUUUCAUUCUCUUCACUGUAAUAAAUUACUAAACUGAAAGAAAUGGAACUAAGCUCCUUUAGCUUAAAUUUGCAGAGCUUUUGUUUUGAGGUUUAACAGCGAAUCAUAGAAAGCUUGUUUUUCAUUUGUCCUGAAACCUUGCCCCUCCUGCCUUCCCCUUUUCAUGCCAAUAAAAGGUAACCAGAGACAGCUGGGGGCUCUCUUUCUUACCUCCCUUGAAUGGGAGCGUCUUCUGAAUGCCUCUUUCAUGUACCUGCACAGACACCGCUCUGCUAACCCGCUACGGCCGAGGUUCUCAGAGGUUGAAUAGGUUUUCAUUGCCUGCAUUUCUGGUCUGAAGCAGACUGAGAGAAAUGAGUGUUAAGUAAACGCGGUGGCAGCCCUGCCAGCGUCAGCAUUCCAGCCUGCAGCGUCGCUCCGGACCGGGACACUGCCGGCACAGGCUUCUGCACAUCCAGCUGUCGGGGGGUGGGGGGGUAUGUUUUACUUGUUAGCGGUUGAAAAGAAGAGGGAUGCAAGGCAAAGCAAAGAGUGGAGAGUCUAGUUUUUAUGAGGCUGUUUAUUCUUUUAUAACAAGUGUGUGGUGCCUUAUUGAUGUUGAAUGGGAAUUUAAUACAGUGAUAAAGUCAAACUGUAAACUUACCAAGUCUGUUUUCAGCUGCCUUUGUUCUGUACCUCUAAGCAUCUGUAGAAAAUGUGUUCAACAGCACUCAAACACUUCUGUGAAAUAAUGUGCGACCUUAUUCAACACCUUCUGCAGAGAACUGAUCACCCUGCUGCAGCUGAUUGAAGUCAAUAGAAAAUGAAGGUGUCUGUCUGUCUUUCCAUACCAGGCCUUUCGCAUGUGAAGUCAGAGUUUGCAGGCUUUUAAGUGAAAACAGAAUUUUGUUUUCGGU